rnacentral:sRNA from 1 species
ACCGACUGUGUGGAAGCACCAGGCAUCAGAGAUAGAGUCUUCCCUGGCAUUGCAGGAGAGAAUCUGAAGGGAUGAUGGACACAUCAAAAGAGCUGCAAGUUCUCCACGUUGACUUCUUGAAGCAGGAGAACGCCGUUUCUCACCACACGUGGGAGUUCCAAACGAGCAGUCCUGUGUUCCGGCGAGGGCAGGUGUUUCACCUGCGGCUGGUGCUGAACCAGCCCCUACAAUCUUACCACCAACUGAAACUGGAAUUCAGCACAGGGCCAAAUCCUAGCCUCGCCAAACACACCCUGGUGGUGCUCGACCCGAGGACGCCCUCGGACCACUACAACUGGCAGGCAACCCUUCAAAAUGAAUCUGGCAAAGAGGUGAGCACCCACCAGGCUGGCGGGUGGGCUGGCUGGCUUCUGGUGGAAUGCUCCUAAUGUGAGCAGCCCCUAUCCCCUUCCUCACCUGUCAGCUGGUAACGUGGUUUAAAGCCAUCCACAGCAGAGCAUGAUAGAGGGGCCAUGGCUCCAAAUGUCUGUUUCCCCACUCAGCCUCCUCCAAGCACACAGUAUCUCUGUGGGCAAACCUCCUACAUGUCACCCUUCCUCUUUCCAUUUCAAAGGGAACAAUGUUCACUGGAGGACAUGAGCGGAGAAAAGUACAUAAAAAUAACCCAUGGUUCCACCAACUAAGUUACCCAUCCUUCCUUCCAGGCUUUUUCUGUGUCAUGGUCAAAUACAAAAUGGGGGUCCAUCUCAUGCUUCACUCACUUGACAAGACCUAAUGGAUGUUUCCCACAGUGGCUUCUGCCCAAGUGUGUGGCUUACGGUGGCCGGUUUUCCACCCUUUUGGGGAGCACUGGGUGUUUACAGUUGUCUCCAAUCUUCCAGUGUUGUAAAGAACCAUCUCUCAGCCAGAUCUUUGCACUGGCUUAUGGAUAUUUCCUUGGGCUAAAUUCCUAGAAGUUUAAUGCUAGGCUAAUGCCAUGAUUUAAAAAUGGCAAUUACAUUGGGUUUUUGUAGAAGCAGAAUCUGCUGGUGGAAAUGAGAUGAAUGGGCCAGCUGCUGCUGGAAUCCUCCCUAGUGCCCCGGCCUCUUCCUUCCUCUCUCUCCCAUCCAGAUCCCAGACUCUCAACCCCAAUUUUGCAUUUGAGUGUUUUUCAGGGUAUCAUGAAAAUCUUUCCCGAGGUGGGCAUGGGUUGUGGGCAGGAGCUGCAUUUCUUUACUCAAAAAGUGUUAUUUUAAAAGUUUUUUUUUUAAUUGACAUAUAACACACAUAAAAGACACAAAUCUUAAUGGUUUGCACAAUGAAUUUUUACAUAUGAAUACAGCCGUGGGACCACCAGCCAGAUCAAGGUGAAGGCCAUUUCCUGCACCCUGGAAGGCUGGUUCUCCUGUGCUCCAUUGUAAUGAACAGUGAGGGCACAACCUCCUCCCUCUUGCCACAAGAGGGGUGUGGGGAGUUAGCCUUGUGGAUUCUGGAGUUGUAGCACAGUGAGUUUGAUCCCAGCUCCACCUCUUGGGCUACCUCUGUGAACCUCAGUUUCCCCACCAGCAAAAUAAUAACAAACAUUUAUAUAUAUUAGCUCAUUUAAUUUUCACAAUGCUCCCACAAAGAAGGGGGGAGCCUGUUAUCAUUCCAAAUUUUUAAACAAGAAAACUGAGGCACAGGAGAGGUUAAGUAACCCGCCAAGGUCAUACAGCCAGUAAGAGGUAGAGCUGGCCAGCCUGGGCAACUAGGGCUACCCCAUCUCUACU